UAAGAGGCCUACCAUGGUUUUAACGGGUAACGGGGAAUUAGGGUUCGAUUCCGGAGAGGGAGCCUGAGAAACGGCUACCACAUCCAAGGAAGGCAGCAGGCGCGCAAAUUACCCAAUCCCGACACGGGGAGGUAGUGACAAUAAAUAACAAUACAGGCGCUCUAUACGGGUCUUGUAAUUGGAAUGAGUACAAUUUAAAUCCCUUAACGAGGAACAAUUGGAGGGCAAGUCUGGUGCCAGCAGCCGCGGUAAUUCCAGCUCCAAUAGCGUAUAUUAAAGUUGUUGCAGUUAAAAAGCUCGUAGUUGAAUUUCGGGAUUCUACCGUUGGUCGGGCUAACAAGUCUGUACUGGUGUGUAGAAUUUCUACCUUCUGGGGAACUAUCAUGUUAUUAAUUUAGCGUGGUGGGAAACCAGGACCUUUACCUUGAAAAAAUUAGAGUGUUCAAAGCAGGCUUACGUCUGAAUACAUUAGCAUGGAAUAAUAGAAUAGGACGGUGGUCCUGUUUUGUUGGUUUCUGAAUCACCGUAAUGAUUAAUAGGGAUAGUUGGGGGCAUUAGUAUUCAAUUGUCAGAGGUGAAAUUCUUGGAUUUAUUGAAGACUAACUUCUGCGAAAGCAUUUGCCAAGGAUGUUUUCAUUAAUCAAGAACGAAAGUUAGGGGAUCGAAGACGAUCAGAUACCGUCGUAGUCUUAACCAUAAACUAUGCCGACUAGGGAUCGGAMGAUGUUAAAUUUUAUUGACUCGUUCGGCGCCUUACGGGAAACCAAAGUGUUUGGGUUC
rnacentral:rRNA from 1 species